AGUGAACGCUGGCGGUAGGCCUAACACAUGCAAGUCGAACGGCAGCACAGUAAGAGCUUGCUCUUACGGGUGGCGAGUGGCGGACGGGUGAGGAAUACAUCGGAAUCUACUUUUUCGUGGGGGAUAACGUAGGGAAACUUACGCUAAUACCGCAUACGACCUACGGGUGAAAGCAGGGGAUCUUCGGACCUUGCGCGAUUGAAUGAGCCGAUGUCGGAUUAGCUAGUUGGCGGGGUAAAGGCCCACCAAGGCGACGAUCCGUAGCUGGUCUGAGAGGAUGGUCAGCCACCCCUGAACUGAGGCACGGUCCAAGCCCCCACGGGGGGCAACCAGUGGGAAUAUUUGACAAUUGGCGCAAGCCUGAUCCAAGCCUACCGGGGGGGGUAAAGAGGCCUUCCGGUUUGUAAGCCCUUUUUGUUGGAAAAAAAAGCAGCAAGGUAAUUCCCCGCUUGUCCUGCCGUUCCCAAAGGAUUAGGACCCGGCAACUUUCUU
rnacentral:rRNA from 1 species